UACGGGGGGAGCAAGCGUUGUUCGGAUUUACUGGGCGUAAAGGGCGCGUAGGCGGCGCAACAAGUCACUUGUGAAAUCUCCGGGCUUAACCCGGAGCGGCCAAGUGAUACUGCUCGGCUAGAGUGCGGAAGGGGCAACUGGAAUUCUUGGUGUAGCGGUGAAAUGCGUAGAUAUCAAGAGGAACACCUGCGGCGAAGGCGGGUUGCUGGGCCGACACUGACGCUGAGGCGCGAAAGCUAGGGGAGCGAACGGG
rnacentral:rRNA from 1 species